rnacentral:rRNA from 1 species
UACAGAGGGGGGCAAGCGUUGUUCGGAAUUACUGGGCGUAAAGGGCGCGUAGGCGGCCUUCUAAGUCGAACGUGAAAUCCCCGGGCUCAACCCGGGAACUGCGUCCGAUACUGGAAGGCUUGAAUUCGGGAGAGGGAUGCGGAAUUCCAGGUGUAGCGGUGAAAUGCGUAGAUAUCUGGAGGAACACCGGUGGCGAAGGCGGCAUCCUGGACCGGCAUUGACGCUGAGGCGCGAAAGCCAGGGGAGCAAAGCGGG